ACAGGGCCUAAGUAUGUUAAUGGUUCUGCGCGAGUUUCGUUUGAAUUAUGUACAAUACAGUAAGCUUUCCAUAAACAUUUCUACAUGACAAAAAAUUUGAUGGAUGCAGUGUUACACUUUCCAUAAAUUUUACGAGUGAAACCUCUCAAACACGAUCAUGCCAAUUUAACAACAGGGGCUGUACAAGGAACGAAAACAUGAGAACGCGAAUUAAGUUUGUGCGAGAUCUUCAUAAAUCUUGGACUUGUUCGUCCCUUUCUCGUUGGUUGGCCGUUUCUCUUCGCCCUUUUUGGUGACGAAGGUCUUGUAGUUUUGUCUGUUGGAUAUGGAUUGUAUUUAUCUAAGGAAAAAAUUGAAAAAUCGUGAAUCAUGUUUUUUCCCGUGUUACGUCUCUAAGAAAUCAUUUUUUUUACAUAUAGAUGUAUGAAUAUUGCUUCCCCCUCCAAUAAUAAAGAUGGUGAGCAUCAA